AACAUUUCGCCCAAUAUUCACCUAAAAACAUCGCCCGAAAUAUGUCCACACAAAGUUCCUUCACUUCCGGUGUUUCUUGAGUUUCGCCGAGUUCCUUUACUUCCAGCAACGAUUUCCUUCACUUCUAGUGGCGUGUGUGAGCUAUUUUGCUUCCAACAAGAUUCUUUACAUACGGUUUCCGUGGCUUAGGUACUUUCUUGAUUUCUUUUCAUGAAUUUAGAAUAAAGUUUUGUUAAAAUUGCCUGCUUUGUUCAUCAUUGAUCAUAGUUAAUCACAAGGAUGUGUAUUAGGUAUGAAAAUAUGAGAGUUUUUUUAAGAUUAAGAUAUCUAAUAAAUGGCACACCAAGUGUUUAUUUAAAUGUCUCUAAGAAAUUAUUGAUCUAAACUCAGAAUUAUUUUGAGGUUAAAAAGAAGAUUGGUGUGUCGGACAAUCAAGAACGUGGAUGGUUGCCCGUGUUGCCUAAAAUUUGGCCAUGUCAAGCUUGGGCAAGACGGGCGGCUUCUCCCCAUCACCCAACCAAAUGACCAUGCAUGGCGUGGGAGGCUAAGCAACGCGGGUGACACGCUUGCGUGGCUCAGCCAUGUAAAUAAGUGACAACAUGAUUUGGUUGGGUGAUACAUGAUGUCGCCCAUGUACCUGCGUCACCCACUUCCUGGGCGACAACAAUUGAAUCUGAGCAACAAAAUUGUGUCACCCAUGUAUCGGGCGACGUAGGUACAUGGGCGACAACAACUGAAUUUGGGCUUUUCUGAUUGUUUCAAUUUUGUUUUUUCUUUAAAAUAUUUAUGCUAAUGUUGUCCUAAUUUAUUGUUUAAAUAUGUCUGACAAGCAGAUGCAUCUUUGGUAACUGAAGAUACCAAUCGAUGAUCAUUUCCU
rnacentral:lncRNA from 1 species